UCCCUGGCGGUCCAGUUGGCUAAGACUCUGUGCUCCCAAUGCAGAGGGUUCAGGUUCGAACCCUGGUCAGGGAA
rnacentral:tRNA from 1 species